rnacentral:lncRNA from 1 species
CCACAGAGAUGGGACCAGUACACUGAGCACAGCCACGCAUCGAACCUGUAUUUCAUGUGUAAUAUAUGGCCUCACCUAAAUGUGUAGAUGCACCUGUGGGACUGGUUGAGCAUGGGCUGCUCUUUGUUUAGCAGAGAAAUUGGUUGGUUGCAUGUGACUGAGGAGAGCAAGAAGAACUACUGAUUCUGCAGCAGAGGCGUUAAUGGACAUUUUAUUUUGUUUCAUUCAUUUACUGAUGACAGUUAUGAGGACAAAUAUGUUGGAGGAAACAUCAAGACUUUACUUCAACUCACAAAAGAUCUUCCUUUCAUUUGGUCAAAUUGCAUAUCCUCAUUACCCUGCAAUGAUGCCAAAACUUUUGCAGCACUGUACACUUCUAAUCCUGAUACUACUGAGAUGUAAACAGACAUCCAACUCAAAUGGUGGUUACCCCUUCCACCAACAGUUACACUGUUGGAAAGGUGUUUGGAUCUUCCAAGGGAGAAAGGCACAUCCUUGCUGA